rnacentral:rRNA from 1 species
AAUCAACGCUGGCGGCGUGCCUCAGACAUGCAAGUCGAACGAUUAAGACUCCCUUCGGGAGUGCAUAAAGUGGCGCACGGGUGAGUAACACGUAAGUAAUCUACCCUCGGGUAGGGAAUAACGUCCGGAAACGGACGCUAAUACCGCAUAAUGCAGCGGCACCGCAAGGUGACAGUUGUUAAAGAUUUAUUGCCUGGGGAGGAGCUUGCGGCAGAUUAGCUUGUUGGAAGGUAACGGCUUACCAAGGCUACGAUCUGUAUCCGGUCUAAGAGGACGGUCGGACACACUGACACUGAAUAACGGGUCAGACUCCUACGGGAGGCAGCAGUCGGGAAUUUUGGG